CCUCCUUUCUAAGGAAAUCGAAAAAUAUGAAAACAAUUAUUUUCGAUUUAAAAAAAUCGGUUAAUGUGACCGUCCUCAUUUCUCUUCUUUUAAUGUCUCUAAGUAAAUCGAGGGGCCGGUAGCUCAGUUGGUUAGAGCGCACCCCUGAUAAGGGUGAGGUCGGAAGUUCGAGUCUUCCUCGGCCCACCAAUAUUAUGGGGGAUUAGCUCAGCUGGGAGAGCGCCUGAUUUGCAUUCAGGAGGCCAGCGGUUCGAUCCCGCUAUCCUCCACCAAAAUUUUAGACAUUUAGCUUUUUUAAAUUGUGAAUAUUAUUAUUAUCAAUAUCUAUAUCCGAUUGUUUUCAGAUAUUUUUUUUGAAAACAAUCAAAACAAAAAUUUAAUUUAUUACAGAAAAAUUUUUUUCUGUGCAUAAAUCAAGCGUUUAAGGGCGAUUGGCGGAUGCCUGGGCACUGUAAGACGAUGAAGGACGUGGUAUACUGCGAUAAGUUUCGGGGAGCUGUAUGCAGGCUUUGAUCCGAAAA
rnacentral:misc_RNA from 1 species